rnacentral:tRNA from 1 species
GGUCCCAUCGUCUAGUGGUUAGGACAUGACCUUCUCAAGGUCGGAACAGGAGUUCGAUUCUCCUUGGGACUA